rnacentral:lncRNA from 1 species
CGAAUACUUCACUGCAUGCAUUUUUUUAUUUCUAUUUCAGUAUAGUUUGUUUUUAAAUUAUUCACUACAAAAUUUUUCAUCAAAUUUCACUCCAAAAUCUCACUCCAAAAAUUUCACUCCAAAAUCUCACUCCAAAAGUUCACUCCAACACUCCACUCCAAUACUCCACUCCAACACUCCACUCCAUACAAUACAUUAUGCCG